rnacentral:rRNA from 1 species
GAUGAACGCUAGCGAUAGGCUUAACACAUGCAAGUCGAGGGGCAGCAUGGGCUUUGCUUGCUAAGACUGAUGUCGACCGGCGCACGGGUGCGUAACGCGUAUGCAACCUGCCUCACAGAGGGGGAUAACCCGUCGAAAGUCGGACUAAUACCGCGUACACUCCGGUUAGGGCAUCCUGAUUCGAGGAAAUGAUUUUCGCUGUGAGAUAGGCAUGCGUCCCAUUAGCUUGUUGGGGGGGUAACGGCUCACCAAGGCGACGAUGGGUAGGGGAAGUGAGAGGUUGAACCCCCACACUGGAACUGAGACACGGACCAGACUCCUGCGGGAGGCAGCAGUGAGGAAUAUUGGUCAAUGGGCGGGAGCCUGAACCAGCCAAGUAGCGUGAAGGAUGACUGUCUUAUGGGUUGUAAACUGCUUUUAUGCGGGUAUAACUCGGGUCACGUGUGGGUCACUGCAUGUACCGUAUGAAUAAGCACCGGCUAACUCCGUG